CGCCUACAGAUCAACAUAGUAAAGGAGCUCAUCUGUGAUCCUGAGUUUAAAGCCAGUUUUUAUGAGUUCAUGAAGCGAUACAGAUAACAAUUUUGCCUAGCUAAGAGAAAGACAGAAAGAUUUAAAAGAGACAGAUGAUUUCGAGACAAACGGAUUUAUUUGCAUUUACAAGCACUGACAUGUUUAAUCUGCAAUGAAAAUGUCACAUCUGCCGCCUGCCAUUCUCCUCCCCACCACAGGAGGUCACCGUCUCCCGAAUACUAGGCAUUUCUUGAUCCUUUGACCUCUGCAGUCUGCCGUCUUGUGUAUACACACCCUGCGUUUCCAGGUGCUCAUUGCGAAGUCUUGUUUGGUUUUUCCACAAUUCUGAGCGUUUAUGUUUAUGAUUUGGUUUUUUUUUAUCUUGCCUCUUUGUUUGUUUUUGACUACUCUUUUGGAUUUGCCCUCUUUGGAUUUGUCUGCUUUCUGUGGCCUGCUUGAUUUCUGACCCCCUGCUUGUUAUUACCUACCUUGCAUCAGGAAUUAAACUUGCACUUGACUCCUGCCCCUCGUGUGAUGCAGUUUGUGACAGAAAAACAGUCAAACACUAAAGUCACGAAGCUGAAGUCAGUUUCUCAUUCGGCAGCUUCUUAUUCAAAUUUUCCCGUUCCACCUUAAAUGGUGCAGCAGUUACAUUCUGGUGCCUCAGGUGCCAUUUAAGGUGGAACAGGAAAAUUCGAAUAAGAAGCUGGCGAAUGAAAAGCGACUUCUUCAGUCUUGUAAAAAAGUUUCCUGCUGGAGAUGCGAGAAAAGUGACUACUGUUAGCAUAUACUAGUACAUUAGCACAUACUGAGACAUAUUAACAGCCAAAAUGGUAAAAUCUACACAAAAUGUUGUGGCUCCCAAGGUGGUUUGAUUUUUGCUCAGAGGACUCUUCUUAACAUUUGGGUUACCGACUCCUGCUCUAAAUUAACUGCUUUUUUGAUUGUUUCAUUCAAAGUAUUUAUUCGAGUUGAAUAAAAGCAGUUUAAUUGCUUGUUACCACAUGAAGUAUUUUUUUAUGUUUUACAAAUAGCCCCAUUUUUACAGUGUACGGUUACAGAGUGAAAUCUGAGGUUGAAUUGUAGAAGCUGUAGGCAUUAAUCAAGCUAAAGAAAUAUUUAUCAAUAUAAAGUCUAUGAUACAGCCUUGUUUGAAAAGCUUCUGCAGAGACCGAAAAGGCUCCGGUCAAUGCAAGACCACUUCCUCUUUUAUCUGUUGCUUAAACCUCAGUGGAACAGAAGUGUACUCUGAAACAGCAUGAAGAAUUUACUGCUUCAGAUACGUAAGUUCAUAAGUUCAUACGUAAGAAUCAUUUUAGAACCUGUUUUGAUUGUGAAGCUGAUGUUUUAAGUGUGUUUCUGUUUUCUCUUUGUAGGUUUACUUAUUUGGUUUGAAUCAGUUGAAGGUUUGAGGUUUGUCCAAGUUGAAUUAGGAAAAAACAUAACAGUAAACUGUGAUCUUGCUGAUACUACAAGCAGAGCAAAGGUAUAUUGGUAUUUGCAGACACAUGGCAGUGCCCCGGUGGUGAUAUUACGCACUUUCAAUGAUGGCACAGAAACUGAAGCACAAAACAUCAAAGAAGAUGAACUGGGAGACUAUUACUGUGUCAAAGCUGGAGAACCAUUUUUCACUAAUGGAGCAAGACUUCACAUCACUGUUUCAGGCCACCAACCCCCACCUCACACACCAUGGCCCGGUCUGACUCUUGCAUCUGCUCUGCUUAACUGUGUUUUCACUGCUGCAAUCACAGCACUGCUCUGCAAACGAUCUCCAAAACGCCGACAAUCUCCAGAGUCUAAUCUACAGCAGCAUCACAAUGGCAUGCAGAUAUUUUUAGCUCUGUUAAACUGCUUCCCUCCGCCCGAAGACUGCUGGGAUAGGCUCCAGCAUCCCCCCGCGACCCUGACGGAGAAGCGGCUUAGAAAAUGGAUGGAUGGAUGGAUGGAAACUGCUUCCCUGGGUCACAGGUCAUCAAAGAAUAAGCAUCUCAAGGCAUGAGAAGACAAAGACCUUUUUGGGUCAUGCAUCCAACUGAAGCUGACAGGAACACCUGUCAGUGUAAAACUCACGAAAACCUCCAAUACGUGGCAGAAAGUCUUUACAAUCAAGGCUUGUUACAAACUAAAAAUCUGGAUGAGAUGGCAGAUGCUAUAGUUUGUGACACAAAGAGCAAAAUGUGUGCAUAUUCAGAGUGUCCAGAAUGCCGUGUGACAACAUUUCAAAUGAUAAAGAGUCCAUCAAAUGAAAGCAUUUCGGUAACACAGUGGGUCCUUGAAAAGAUUGGAGAUGCUGGCCAUGACAAAAUGACCGUUUCUGUUAAAAAGGAGAUGGUCACCACAGAAGAUGCUCUGGUGACACAGUUCCAGGAGAGGCUUGCUCAUUUCAGACGACACCUCUUCAACAUCAGAUGGCAAUAUGGAACAUAUCGCAGGUGAAAGAGAAUUUGCAAGAAACUGACGCUUUAAUCCAUGUCGACUUUAGCGAGAAUUACAACUGCAAAUACUCACAAGAGAUUCAGUCUGUGCACUUUGUGGAGUUCUCUACAUCAAAGUGGAACAGCCCAUCAUCCCUUUCUGCUCCAUCUUGCCAAGCCACCAACAUGAUCCUCCAGCCAUCUGGGCUCAUCUUUCACCUAUUCUUACCCAGCUGAGGGAGCGUUGUCCAGGUGUCACCAGACUACAUUUUUUCAGCGACGGGCCAGCCACGCAGUAUAAGCAGAAGGCUAACUUUUACAUGCUGUCCACUGAGCCAUUUAAGAUGGGCUUUAAGGAGACAAGCUGGCAUUUCUUUGAGGCCAGCCAUGGUAAAGGUGUACCAGAUGGCAUUGGUGGCUCCUUGAAAAGAACUGCAGACAGUCUAGUGCACCAUGGUACAGACAUUCCAGAUGCUGAAUCCCUGUUCCUUCAGCUCAAACAGAAGACGUCUUCAGUGGAGCUGUUCUUUGUGUCACCAGAAGACGUGGAAAAAAUGGGACAACGCAUUGUGAACGGACCUCCACUUGUAACUAUUAAAGGCACGAUGAGGAUGCACCAGGUGAUCAGUGUGGUCCAAGAAAGCAUCAAAUACAGGGACAUCAGUUGUGUAUGCAAAAUGAUGGAUGGAGUCCUUGACUGCCCAUGCUAUGGCCUUCAAGAAUUCACAUUUGCCAGAAGUGAAAGUCAACAAGAAUCCAUACCAUUGAAAGGUCUGCCCCUGCUUUAUUCCGUCCAGAAGUAAUCUCAAAAGUGCACAUUGGCCAGUGGUGUAUAGUAAACUAUGAUGCAGAUCCUUAUCCUGGCAUCAUUCUUGAAGUGGAGGCACACAACAUAAAAGUAAAAUGUAUGCACAGAAAUGGAGUUAAUAAAUUCUUCUGGCCCAGCCCAAGGGAAGAUGUCAGUACUGGUAUGGGGAUGAUCAAAUUGUGUGUUUUAUUCCUGAGCCAGUCGCUCUGAACAAAAGGUCGGUUCAGACAAAAAACCUGGCACUAUUUAGAGAAGCAUUUGUAAAACCUCCUUCACUCAUCUGCCCUGGUGUUCGCUGAAGAGAGCAAAUAUAUGGGGAAUUUUAGCAGAUUUAAUUAUCUAACAUGAUGUAUUAACAUGAUGUUUUUUGCUCAUUUUGUAGUGCAUUGAUGUUUAUUAAGUGAAAUUGCUUGUUCAGUCACUGGUGUUACAGAUGUGUUACCAUGUGAUGCUUGUUCUUUUUCAUGAUUUUUUUCUUAUUAAAAGUAUCCUGCAUGAAAUGUUAGAAUCAUUCAUUUCUGCACUGUUUCUUAUAUCAGUAGUUAAAUUUUCAUGUUUAUUGGACAAAAAUUUAUUAUUGUUUUUUAAAAAAUAGUAUAGGAAGAUGCCUUUAAGUAUAAAGAAAGACCACUUUAUUUUUGUUUUUUUCAGUGCUUGUGUAUAAACAUACUUUGGUAACAUGUUAAGUUAAAUGGAAUUUCUUUAUCACAUUCAGUCACAUUGUAAUUUCAAUUAAAAAUAAAUAAAUUGAUGACAAAAUAAAUUCUUCAAGAUGGGGUAACACCAGUGACAAAUUGACCAAAACUUUGCAUUUUAUGUCAAAAUAUAUUAAAAUCUUUUUGGAAUUAA